UUCGCCUUUUACUAAAGAUUUCCGUGG
rnacentral:piRNA from 5 species